UGCGGCCCUACUACCCGGCCGUGAACAUCAAGUACAUCGCCGCCGGCAACGAGGUCCUGGGCGGCGACACGCAGAACAUCGUCCCGGCCAUGCGGAACCUCAACGCGGCCCUCAAUGGCGCCGGCCUCGGCGCCAUCAAGGUGUCCACCUCGAUCCGGUUCGACGCGGUGACCAACACCUUCCCGCCGUCCAACGGCGUGUUCGCGCAGGCCUACAUGACGGACGUGGCCCGGCUCCUGGCCAGCACCGGCGCGCCGCUGCUCGCCAACGUGUACCCCUACUUCGCCUACAAGGACAACCCGCGGGACAUCCAGCUGAACUACGCGACGUUCCGGCCGGGCACCACGGUGCGGGACCAGAACAACGGGCUGACCUACACGUGCCUGUUCGACGCCAUGGUGGACGCCCUGGUGGCAGCGCUGGAGCGGGCCGGCGCGCCGGGGGUGAGGGUGGUGGUGUCGGAGAGCGGGUG
rnacentral:lncRNA from 1 species